GACGAACGCUGGCGGCGUGCUUAACACAUGCAAGUCGAACGGAAAGGCCCUGCUUUUGUGGGGUGCUUGAGUGGCGAACGGGUGAGUAACACGUGAGUAACCUGCCCUUGACUUUGGGAUAACUUCAGGAAACUGGGGCUAAUACCGGAUAGGAGCUCCUGCUGCAUGGUGGGGGUUGGAAAGUUUCGGCGGUUGGGGAUGGACUCGCGGCUUAUCAGCUUGUUGGUGGGGUAGUGGCUUACCAAGGCUUUGACGGGUAGCCGGCCUGAGAGGGUGACCGGCCACAUUGGGACUGAGAUACGGCCCAGACUCGUACGGGAGGCAGCAGUGGGGAAUAUUGCACAAUGGGCGGAAGCCUGAUGCGGCAACGCCGCGUGCGGGAUGACGGGCUUCGGGUUGUAAACCGCUGUCGCCUGUGACGAAGCGUGAGUGACGGUAAUGGGUAAAGAAGCACCGGCUAACUACGUG
rnacentral:rRNA from 1 species